rnacentral:rRNA from 1 species
UACGUAGGGGGCGAGCGUUGUCCGGAUUUAUUGGGCGUAAAGAGCGUGUAGGCGGCCAGGUAGGUCUGCUGUGAAAACUCGAGGCUCAACCUCGAGACGUCGGCGGAAACCAUCUGGCUAGAGUCCGGAAGAGGAGAGUGGAAUUCCUGGUGUAGCGGUGAAAUGACGCAGAUAUCAGGAAGAACACCCGUGGCGAAGGCGGCUCUCUGGGACGGUACUGACGCUGAGACGCGAAGCGUGGGGAGCGAACAGG